UUGCCCAUCGGGGCUGCGGAUACCUGCACUUUUCUU
rnacentral:ncRNA from 1 species